rnacentral:rRNA from 1 species
CCUACGGGAGGCAGCAGUGAGGAAUAUUGGUCAAUGGACGAGAGUCUGAACCAGCCAAGUAGCGUGAAGGAUGACUGCCCUAUGGGUUGUAAACUUCUUUUAUAAAGGAGUAAUACGAGUCACGUGUGCCUUUUUGCAUGUACUUUAUGAAUAAGGAUCGGCUAACUCCGUGCCAGCAGCCGCGGUAAUACGGAGGAUGCGGGCGUUAUCCGGAUUUAUUGGGUUUAAAGGGUGCGUAGACGGGAGGUUAAGUCAGUGGUAAAAUAUUGGGGCUAAACGUAACAAUGCCAUUGAUACUGGCAGGCUUGAGUACAGUUGAGGUAGGCGGAAUAAGUGGUGUAGCGGUGAAAUGCAUAGAUAUCACGAAGAACCCCGAUAGCGAAGGCAGCUUACUAAACUGUGACUGACGCUGAUGCUCGAAAGUAUGGGUAUCAAACAGGAUUAGAUACCCCAGUAGUC